GACGAACGCUGGCGGCGUGCUUAACACAUGCAAGUCGAACGGAAAGGCCCUGCUUGCAGGGUACUCGAGUGGCGAACGGGUGAGUAACACGUGGGUAUCUGCCCUGCACUUCGGGAUAAGCCUGGGAAACUGGGUCUAAUACCGGAUAGGAGCCAUUUUUAGUGUGAUGGUUGGAAAGUUUUUUCGGUGUAGGAUGAGCUCGCGGCCUAUCAGCUUGUUGGUGGGGUAAUGGCCUACCAAGGCGGCGACGGGUAGCCGGCCUGAGAGGGUGGACGGCCACAUUGGGACUGAGAUACGGCCCAGACUCCUACGGGAGGCAGCAGUGGGGAAUAUUGCACAAUGGGCGCAAGCCUGAUGCAGCGACGCCGCGUGGGGGAUGACGGCCUUCGGGUUGUAAACUCCUUUCGCUAGGGACGAAGCUUUUUGUGACGGUACCUAGAUAAGAAGCACCGGCUAACUACGUG
rnacentral:rRNA from 1 species